ACGAAGGGUGCAAGCGUUACUCGGAAUUACUGGGCGUAAAGCGUGCGUAGGUGGUUUGUUAAGUCUGAUGUGAAAGCCCUGGGCUCAACCUGGGAAUUGCAUUGGAUACUGGCAGGCUAGAGUGCGGUAGAGGGUAGUGGAAUUCCCGGUGUAGCAGUGAAAUGCGUAGAGAUCGGGAGGAACAUCCGUGGCGAAGGCGACUACCUGGACCAGCACUGACACUGAGGCACGAAAGCGUGGGGAGCAAACAGG
rnacentral:rRNA from 1 species